GCCGGGUGUGGUGGUGCGUGCCUGUAGUCCCAGCUACUCAGGAGGCUGAGGCAGAAGAAUCGCUUGAACCCAGGAGGUGGAGGUUGCAGUGAGCCAAGAUCACGCCACUGCACUCCAGCCUGGGCAACAGAGCGAGACUCUGUCUCCA
rnacentral:SRP_RNA from 2 species